UACGAAGGGGGCUAGCGUUGCUCGGAAUCACUGGGCGUAAAGGGUGCGUAGGCGGCGCGGAAAGUAGGGUGUGAAAUCCCUCGGCUUAACCGAGGAAUAGCGCUCUAAACUACCGUGCUCGAGGGAGAUAGAGGUGAGCGGAACUUAGGGUGGAGCGGUGAAAUGCGUUGAUAUCCUAAGGAACACCGGUGGCGAAAGCGGCUCACUGGAUCUCUUCUGACGCUGAUGCACGAAAGCUAGGGUAGCGAACGGG
rnacentral:rRNA from 1 species